rnacentral:rRNA from 1 species
CGGCGAAGGGUGAGUAACACGUAACCAACGUACCCCUCAGAUCGGGAUAACCACUGGAAACGGUGGAUAAUACUGAAUGGUCCUAGGAAGGACAUCCUUCCGAAGGUAAACGGCGGCUUCGGCUGCUGUUGAGGGAGCGGGUUGCGUCCUAUCAGCUUGUUGGUGAGGUAACGGCUCACCAAGGCUAUGACGGGUAGCGGGUCUGAGAGGAUGAUCCGCCACACUGGGACUGAGACACUGCCCAGACUCCUACGGGAGGCUGCAGUCGAGAAUCUUCCACAAUGGGCGAAAGCCUGAUGGAGCGACGCUGCGUGUAGGAUGAAGGCCUUAGGGUUGUAAACUACUGUCACGCUAUAGGAACCCGUGUAGGUUAAUAGCCUGCGCGCUGACCAAAGCGAGAGGAAGUGCCGGCUAACUCCGUGCCAGCAGCCGCGGUAAGACGGAGGGCGCAAGCGUUGUUCGGAAUCACUGGGCAUAAAGGGCGCGUAGGCGGCCAGUUCAGUCGGAUGUGAAAUCCCCCGGCCCAACCGGGGAACUGCAUUCGAUACUGACUGGCUAGAGGAUGGUGGGAGCCAAUGGAACUCCAGGUGGAACGGUGAAAUGUGUAGAUAUCUGGAGGAACACCGGUGGCGAAUGCGAUUGGCUGGGCCAUUUCUGACGCUGAGGCGCGAAAGCUAUGGGAGCGAACUGGAUUAGAUACCCCGGUUGUCCUAGCCGUAAA